GACGAACGCUGGCGGCGUGCUUAACACAUGCAAGUCGAACGGAAAGGCCCUGUCUUUGUGUGGUGCUCGAGUGGCGAACGGGUGAGUAACCCGUGAGUAACCUGCCCUUGACUUUGGGAUAACUUCAGGAAACUGGGGCUAAUACCGGAUAGGAGCUCCUGCUGCAUGGUCGGGGUUGGAUAGUUUCGGCGGUUGGGGAUGGACUCGCGUCUUAUCAUCUUGUUGGUGGGGUAGUGGCUUACCAAGGCUUUGACGGGUAGCCGGCCUGAGAGGGUGACCGGCCACAUUGGGACUGAGAGACGGCCCAGACGACUACGGGAGGCAGCAGUGGGGAAUAGUGCACAAUGGGCGGAAGCAGGAUGCAGCAACGCCGGUUGCGAGAUGACGGCCUUCGGGUUGUAAACCGCUUUCGCAUGUGACGAAGCGUGAGUGACGGUAGUGGGUAAAGAAGCACCGGCUAACUACG
rnacentral:rRNA from 1 species